rnacentral:tRNA from 1 species
GCCCGGCUAGCUCAGUCGGUAGAGUAUGGGACUCUUAAUCCCAGGGUCUCUGGGUUCGAGCC